ensembl:rRNA 5S_rRNA 5S ribosomal RNA
GCCAGCAGCCAUAUCACCCUGCAGCUCACAACUGGCAACUUACUGCAGCUAAGCAGGUGUGAGCCUGUUCAGUACCUGAACUGGAGACCUUCUGGGGAAAACUAAGGUUGCUGCUGGAA